UUUCCUACGGGGCGCAGCAGUGAGGAAUAUUGGUCAAUGGGCUUACGCCUGAACCAGCCAAGUCGCGUGAGGGAAGACUGCCCUAUGGGUUGUAAACCUCUUUUGUCAGGGAGCAACGCCGGCUACGUGUAGCCGGACUGAGAGUACCUGAAGAAAAAGCAUCGGCUAACUCCGUGCCAGCAGCCGCGGUAAUACGGAGGAUGCGAGCGUUAUCCGGAUUUAUUGGGUUUAAAGGGUGCGUAGGCGGGAUGCCAAGUCAGCGGUAAAAAUGCGGUGCUCAACGCCGUCGAGCCGUUGAAACUGGG
rnacentral:rRNA from 1 species